GUUAUAUGGUCAAGCGACUAAGCGCAUACGGUGGAUGCCUAGGCGGCAACAGGCGAUGAAGGGCGUAGCAGCCUGCGAUAAGCCUCGGGGAGCUGGCAAGCAAGCUUUGAUCCGAGGAUUUCCGAAUGGGGAAACCCGGCCUGCACAAGCAGGUCAUCUCUGUCUGAAUACAUAGGGCAGUGAGGCUAACCCGGGGAACUGAACCAUCUAAGUACCCGGAGGAAAAGAAAUCAACCGAGAUUCCCCUAGUAGUGGCGAGCGAACGGGGACCAGCCAGCACUCUUUAGCAAUCGACUUAGCGGAACGGUCUGGAAAGUCCGGCCAUAGUGGGUGAUAGCCCCGUACGCGAAAAGUGGGUUGUGGAACUAGGUGUGCGACAAGUAGGGCGGGACACGUGGAAUCCUGUCUGAAGAUGGGGGGACCAUCCUCCAAGGCUAAAUACUCGUUGCCGACCGAUAGCGAACCAGUACCGUGAGGGAAAGGUGAAAAGAACCCCUGUUAGGGGAGUGAAAUAGAACCUGAAACCGUGUGCGUACAAGCAGUGGGAGCCUGGCUUCGGCCGGGUGACUGCGUACCUUUUGUAUAAUGGGUCAGCGACUUACUUCUCAGUGGCAAGCUUAACCGUGUAGGGGAGGCAUAGGGAAACCGAGUCUGAAUAGGGCGUUGAGUCGCUGGGAGUAGACCCGAAACCGGGCGAUCUAGCCAUGGCCAGGUUGAAGGUGGGGUAACACCCACUGGAGGACCGAACCGGGUAAUGUUGAAAAAAUUAUCGGAUGAGCUGUGGAUCGGAGUGAAAGGCUAAUCAAGCUCGGAGAUAGCUGGUUCUCCCCGAAAGCUAUUUAGGGAGAGCCUCGUGUCUCACUCCUGGGGGUAGAGCACUGUUUCGGCUAGGGGGCCAUCCCGGCUUACCAAACCGAUGCAAACUCCGAAUACCGGGAAGUGCAAUCACGGGAGACAGACGGCGGGUGAUAACGUUCGUCGUCAAGAGGGAAACAACCCAGACCGCCAGCUAAGGUCCCCAAAUCACAACUCAGUGGGAAACGAUGUGGGAAGGCACAGACAGCCAGGAGGUUGGCUUAGAAGCAGCCAUCCUUUAAAGAAAGCGUAAUAGCUCACUGGUCGAGUCGGCCUGCGCGGAAGAUUCAACGGGGCUUAAGCCAUGUACCGAAGCUGCGGGUGCACGAUUCGUCGUGCGCGGUAGGGGAGCGUUCCGUAAGCCUGUGAAGGUGUGUCGUAAGGCAUGCUGGAGGUAUCGGAAGUGCGAAUGCUGACAUGAGUAACGAUAAAGCGGGUGAAAAACCCGCUCGCCGAAAGUCCAAGGGUUCCUGCGCAACGUUAAUCGGCGCAGGGUGAGUCGGUCCCUAAGGCGAGGCCGAAAGGCGUAGUCGAUGGGAAACAGGUCAACAUUCCUGUACCUGUGGUUACUGCGAUGGGGGGACGAAGAAGGCUAGGUCGGCCGGGCGUUGGUUGUCCCGGUUCAAGCGUGUAGGAAGUGGCUCUAGGUAAAUCCGGGGUCGCAAUUCCAAGGCGUGAUGACGAGGCUCCCUCGAGGAGCCGAAGUGAUUGAUGCCAUGCUUCCAGGAAAAGCCUCUAAGCUUCAGGUAACCAGAGACCGUACCCGAAACCGACACAGGUGGACAGGGCGAGAAUCCCAAGGCGCUUGAGAGAACUCGGGUGAAGGAACUAGGCAAAAUAGCACCGUAACUUCGGGAGAAGGUGUGCCCCUUGUACGUGAAGGACCUCGCGUCCGGAGCCGAAGGGGGUUGCAGUGACCAGGUGGCUGCGACUGUUUACUAAAAACACAGCACUCUGCGAACUCGUAAGAGGAAGUAUAGGGUGUGACGCCUGCCCGGUGCCGGAAGGUUAAGUGAUGGGGUUAGCCCUCGGCGAAGCUCUUGAUCGAAGCCCCGGUAAACGGCGGCCGUAACUAUAACGGUCCUAAGGUAGCGAAAUUCCUUGUCGGGUAAGUUCCGACCUGCACGAAUGGCGUAACGAUGGCCACACUGUCUCCACCCGAGACUCAGUGAAAUUGAAAUCGCUGUGAAGAUGCAGCGUACCCGCGGCAAGACGGAAAGACCCCGUGAACCUUUACUAUAGCUUUACACUGGACUUUGAACCUAUUUGUGUAGGAUAGGUGGGAGGCUUUGAAGCCGGAUCGCCAGAUUCGGUGGAGCCAACCUUGAAAUACCACCCUGGUAUGUUUGAAGUUCUAACCCAGGCGCUACAACGUCGGGGACAGUGUAUGGUGGGUAGUUUGACUGGGGCGGUCUCCUCCCAAAGAGUAACGGAGGAGCACGAAGGUACCCUCAGCGCGGUCGGAAAUCGCGCAAUGAGUGCAAAGGCAUAAGGGUGCUUGACUGCGAGACAGACAAGUCGAGCAGGUACGAAAGUAGGUCUUAGUGAUCCGGUGGUUCUGUAUGGAAGGGCCAUCGCUCAACGGAUAAAAGGUACUCCGGGGAUAACAGGCUGAUACCGCCCAAGAGUUCAUAUCGACGGCGGUGUUUGGCACCUCGAUGUCGGCUCAUCACAUCCUGGGGCUGAAGUCGGUCCCAAGGGUAUGGCUGUUCGCCAUUUAAAGUGGUACGCGAGCUGGGUUUAGAACGUCGUGAGACAGUUCGGUCCCUAUCUGCCGUGGGCGUUUGAGAUUUGAGGGAAGCUGCUCCUAGUACGAGAGGACCGGAGUGGACGAACCUCUGGUGUUCCGGUUGUCACGCCAGUGGCACUGCCGGGUAGCUAAGUACGGAAGGGAUAACCGCUGAAAGCAUCUAAGCGGGAAGCCCACCCCAAGAUGAGGUCUCCCGGACCCUUGAGGUCCCUAAAGGUCCGUCGAAGACUACGACGUUGAUAGGCUGGGUGUGGAAGCGCGGUAACGUGUGAAGCUAACCAGUACUAAUUGACCGUGCGGCUUGACCAUAUAACACCCAAGCAGU
rnacentral:rRNA from 1 species